CAGGGACAUUUUCACUCUUACCUCUGAGGAUUUUGGUUAAUUUUUGUAAUCUCAGGAUGUAGAAAAUGGAGGAAUUUCAGAUAGACCAGAUGAUGCAGUUGAUGUUUACCACACAUACUUUGGUGUAGCUGUCUCGUGAUCGUGGUCAUUUGAAUAUGCCAGCUGAUGAAAGAGAAAAGAGACACCAGCAUAAUUUCAUGCAUGUAACAACUCAUACAUCUCAAGAAUGGGCUGCAACCUUUGUUAGUGAACUUAAUGAUACUAUUGUGGAAGCUCAACUGAGGACUAGGAAAGUUCCACCUCUACUUCCUAUGAAAGAAGCCGUUGAUCACUAUUUGGAAUCCAAUAAUAGAUGAUUCAGUUUAUUUACAUUAAUUUACUAAGGAAUGGA